UACGUAGGGUGCGAGCGUUGUCCAGAAUUAUUGGGCGUAAAGAGCUCGUAGGCGGUCUGUCGCGUCGAUCGUGAAAACUUGGGGCUUAACCCUGAGCUUGCGGUCGAUACGGGCAUGACUGGAGUUCGGCAGGGGAGACUGGAAUUCCUGGUGUAGCGGUGAAAUGCGCAGAUAUCAGGAGGAACACCGAUGGCGAAGGCAGGUCUCUGGGCCACUACUGACGCUGAGAAGCGAAAGCGUGGGGAGCGAACAGG
rnacentral:rRNA from 1 species